AUCGAUCUUACCGAUUUUCGUCGCGAAGCGACGAAAAUCGGGAUCGAAUCCCACUACGGUAACAUACGAGGGUAUCCAAACAACACAUACUAUCCAAAUAAAAAAAUAUGGAGUUCCGGUUUAGACCAUGGGCGUGCGACGACCCCGAUGAAAUUCGGGAUAUCACGGUCUUCGUUAAUGUUAAUAAGCGUCCGUCAGAUCAGUAGGCGAAACGCAAUAUCCGCACAAUAAGAUGUCUGCGACCCGAAAGAAUAUUCAAAGUAAGCUGUUAAUUUUGUUGCGUCAGAAGCUAAUCAGCCGGUAACGUGACUACACUGAUAUAAUUUGUGAUACAAACAUGCUUUAUUCCAUACUGAAUAGCAUUUUGAAACGGCGACAUUUUGAACAUUUUUAUAUUUAGAGUGAGAGUGGAUACACGUUACACUGGCGCCGACAUUUUGAAAAUUUGAGGAAACAAAGACAUUCUCCAACGAGUUCUUCAGCUCGGGGAAUGAGAGAAUAGAUUCACCUUUGUGUCGCUUUUCAGAUCGUAUUUUAAUUCCUUUCCGGUACUUUAGUUUCUUUGAACUUCUCUGUUACUAAGCCUAUAUUGAAUUUUUAAAAUUAAGAAAUCCGUGAUUUUACUUGCAGGCAUGACUGAUUAAUGGAAUUAUUUUACUUUUAUAUAGAAUAUGGACGGCACUCCAGUACAGCAUGUGCAUGGUUGGCCUGUUGACAAUUUUAGAAACGCAUCUUGGUCUAUUAUACAGAGUAUUGUUGUACUGCUCCAAAGUGCUUGUUGACAGACUGAAACCACUUGCUUGCGGCUCAUAAGGUUCACUUCUUGAAAGCAGGCAGCUACAAAAUGGAAGGUCAACAAAUCCAGUAUACUUGAAAAGCAAGAAAGAAACACCAGAAAAUAUAAAAAAACAGAAGAACAAGGGAACUUAAAAAAAAACUUUUAAGGAUAGGAAUUCAGGAUUUAUUUAGAAACUAAAUUUAUUUUGAGAAGAGCAGUGUUUGACAAAGCUCUGUUACUUUAAGAGAUAAUGUAUUAUCA